rnacentral:rRNA from 1 species
AUUGAACGCUGGCGGCAGGCCUAACACAUGCAAGUCGAGCGAGCGGCGGACGGGUGAGUAAUGUAUGGGGACUGCCCGAUAGAGGGGGAUAACUACUGGAAACGGUGGCUAAUACCGCAUACUAUCGGAUAACCCAUAGGGGAUUAGCUAGUAGGGGGGGUAAAGGCUCACCUAGGCGACGAACUCUACCUGGUCUGAGAGGAUGAUGGGCCACACUGGGAGUAGAACACGGCCCAACCUCCUACGGAGGCAGCAGUGGGGAAUAUUGCACAAUGGGAGCAAGCCUAAUGCAGCCAUGCCGGGUGUAUGAUGAAGGCCUUAGGGUUGUAAAGUACUUUCAGCGGGGAGGAGUUAACCGCAGAAGAAGCAACGGCUAACUCCGUGCCAGCAGCCGCGGUAAUAC